ACCCUCAGGGUUCCGCCCAAGCACAGCAACUUGUAGAGGAGCAAAAAGAACUUCCUUCUGGCACCCGGAAGCCGCCCCCUCCCUCCCCCACGCCAAGGGAGGAGUCUCGGGGGCCUAUCCUCCUCCCAGGCGCUCAGAGAGGGGGACACGAAGCCUCUCCCCGUUGCCCUGGGGGUGGCCUGGCCCAGCCGCCCCUGCGAACCUCGGGAUCCCCACCUAGAUCCGGAGGCUGAGAGCCGCCGGAAUGGGGGGGAGGCGUUGCUAGGAGACCGAGGGCCAGGUCAGGCCCCUCCUGGGCUGUCUCGCCCUGCGCCGGCUCACGUCAGUUAUUCGAAGAACCACCAUCGGCCUCAACAGCGGGCCCGUGUCCACGGCCGAGGCCGCUUUGGCUUCUUCCGCCGCCUUUGCGCCGGCAGCAAACCCAGGUGGCUUCUGCUGCUGCCGGCAACCUGUCCGGCGUCCACUUGGGUAGCGGCCCUGGGGAGCCGCGCGGGCAGGCGGGGACGCGCUCCGAGCCAUGGAGGAGAUACCUAUCCUGGGCCUGGGCACCUGGAAGGCGGUUCCAGGGGAGGUAACAGAGGCUGUAAAAGUGGCGAUAGACGUGGGCUACCGCCACGUGGACUGUGCGUACGUGUACCACAACGAGAAUGAGGUCGGAGUGGGAGUCCAGUCCAAGAUCAAGGAGGGCGUGGUGAGACGGGAGAACCUAUUUAUUGUCAGCAAGCUCUGGUGCACCUGCCAUAAGAAGCCCCUGGUGAAAACAGCCUGCACCCGGAGUCUGAAGGCCUUGAAACUGGACUACUUGGACCUCUACCUCAUGCACUGGCCCAUGGGCUUCAAGUCCGGAGAGGCAGACUUGCCCAUGGACCACAACGGCAUGAUCAUCCCUAGUAACACGGACUUCCUGGACACAUGGGAGGCCAUGGAGAACCUGGUGGCCACAGGCCUGGUCAGAGCCAUCGGGGUGUCAAACUUCAACCACGAGCAGCUCGAGAGAAUUCUGAAUAAACCCAACCUGAGGUUCAAGCCAGUGACCAACCAGAUCGAGUGCCACCCGUAUCUCACUCAGAAGAACUUGAUCAGUUUCUGCCAAUCAAGAAACGUGUCUGUGACGGCUUACCUGCCCCUCGGUGGCUGCAGGAAGCGUGAGGUUUUCCUAAAGAAGGAAGCAUGUUCAUUUGCCCUCGUGGCCUCUGCCCUGUACUCUGCUUUCCAGUGGGGGCAUGCACCUGAUGGAAGACCCUACGAUCCAGACGAUCGCUCAGAAGCACAGGAAGUCCGCAGCCCAGAUUUUGAUCCGAUUUCAGAUCCAGAGGAACGUAAGAGUGAUUCCCAAAUCUGUCAACCCAAAGCGGAUUCUCGAGAACUUCCAGGAAAGUGCUUCCUCCUUUUGAAUCACAUGGCAUCAGAGGCUUUGGGGUCACCUCUUAGCUUGGGGAAGGGAUGUCUUGAUGUCGAGAGCCAGCAGCCGCACCCCCUGUGGCUUUAACACCCAGGGGUGUCAGGGUGAGGCCUCUGGAGUAGAGACAGACCCUUCCCAGCCCGGAGCUAUUGGAACUGGACUGGAUGGAACAGGGGGUGGGGGUGGGCAGGCAGGGCUGCAGUCAGAGUUCUUUCGAGGCUGACCUUCACCCUCGUGCCAGCCACUGCACCCAGACUGCCCUGGCCCUGAUGUGUCGGGGCUCCAGCUUUCUCUCCAGGCAGAACUUUGGUUGCCACUGAGUCUCUGAUUUCUGCUUUGGUUGCCACUAAGUCACUGAUUUCUAUGCAGGUAGAGGCUAGGCCAGUCUCUACCCCUCCUCCGGCCUCAGCUUCUCAGCUGUGGGCUCAGGGUUGGAUGUCCCUGAGUGGACCAGCUCUUAAUGCCGGCAAGGGUCAUAGUCCGCACGUGUGUUAGGUAUAGGAAGAAGGGAGAGCUGCUUAGAAUACUGCUUUCGCAGGACAAGAAAGAACAACUACACAGUGAGCAUCAAUGCCUCCAGGGACCAGGUCUCCCUCACCAAGUGUUUGAUUUUGAAUUAUCAGAAGAGGAUAUGACU